rnacentral:misc_RNA from 1 species
GAUGAAGAACGUAGUGAAAUGCGAUAAGUAAUGUGAAUUGCAGAAUUCAGUGAAUCAUCGAAUCUUUGAACGCACAUUGCGCCCGCCAGUAUUCUGGCGGGCAUGCCUGUUCGAGCGUCAUUUCAACCAUCAAGCCCCAGGCUUGUGUUGGGGACCUGCGGCUGCCGCAGGCCCUGAAAACCAGUGGCGGGCUCGCUGUCACACCGGGCGUAGUAGAUUUUAUCUCGCUCAGGGCGUGCUGCGGGUUCCGGCCGUUAAAAAGCCUUUUUUACCCAAGGUUUACCUCGGAUCAGGUAGGAAUACCCGCUGAACUUAAGCAUAUCAAUAAGCGGAGGA